CCGUUCGCGGCUGGACUAUUUUAUUACCCUUGUCUUUUGCGCACUUGUUGUUUCCUGGGCGAGUUCGCUCGCCACCAGGACCACAAUAUAAACCUUUUUUAUGCAGUUGCAAUCAGCGUCAGUAUAACAAAUGUAAAUCAUUUACAACUUUCAACAACGGAUCUCUUGGUUCUGGCAUCGAUGAAGAACGCAGCGAAAUGCGAUACGUAGUGUGAAUUGCAGAAUUCAGUGAAUCAUCGAAUCUUUGAACGCACAUUGCGCCCUUUGGUAUUCCAAAGGGCAUGCCUGUUCGAGCGUCAUUUGUACCCUCAAGCUUUGCUUGGUGUUGGGCGUUUUUGUCUCUGGUUUGCCCAAAGACUCGCCUUAAAACGAUUGGCAGCCGGCCUACUGGUUUCGCAGCGCAGCACAUUUUUGCGCUUGCAAUCAGCAAAAGAGGACGGCAAUCCAUCAAGACUCCUUCUCACGUUUGACCUCGGAUCAGGUAGGGAUACCCGCUGAACUUAAGCAUAUCAAUA
rnacentral:rRNA from 1 species